CAGGGCCGCGCGGACUUCGGACGGCAGAUCGUCGAACUCGUCCAUCUGCCGCCGCAUCGUCGACAGUCUGCUUGCAGACAGGUCUCCCUGUUCGGAGCCUGGCGCGGGUUUGCCCGCAGAUGGUGUCUGGUCGCGCUUCAUUUGAAUGUNGCUGCCACGUCGUAGGUCCAGGUCAAGCGUCCAUUGGUGAAAACCACCGAGCGAAAUCCGAGAUCGCGUGCCUUGUUGAAGAUAUUCCCGGACCGGGCAAGGUUAAGGACCGUCGGCCGAUCCAUCUUGAAAUACUUGUAGUUCAGCACCGUCUCGUGAUCGCCGGACGUGCCGAUGUCCAUCGCAAGUNNNNNNNNNNNNUGACCGCGAACUGCUUGCGGCCCUCGACAUUCUCGGCGAGCGAAUCGAGCCGGGCGCUGAUGUUGGUCGCGCCAUGUUUGCGGACGUAUUCACGCUCAUUCUUCUGCAUCGCCGCCAACAGUUUCUUCGCGCGCGGAGCCUCCGGUGCGGAAUCAUCGAUUUUUCCGAGAUCGGCUUUGGCAGCGUAGUAAUCGGC
rnacentral:misc_RNA from 1 species